GUAGGAUUUGACUGUUUUUGGCUCAACACUUAGACAUACGCCCACCACUGACCAGCAGCACAUCUGACCAGCAGCCGUCCAAUUAGUGUGAGCCACAGAGCCCGGUAGAGCCCAGCAAAGCCCAGUAUCACAGCUACAAUGGGCUAAGAGGCAGCUAGUGAACUGCUAGACCCACCACAGAAGCACAGUGUGCAGCUGGAGUGUUAUAAGAUCCUUAAAUGUAAGCCCCCUGAGGAAUCAGCGCACUGUGACGUCAACACAGCGGCAUUAGCUUUUAUUCUCUAGCUAGAGGCGUGUUUGACUCUCUGUGCUCUUCUCCUACCUGAUAGGUGUUGCUGCCGAGAAAAAUUCCAUUUAAACCGCUGGAGGGUAACGUGUCGAAUAAGAGCUCAGUGAAAUGUACAUGACAGUUAAACUGUAUCUCUAGUAUUUGUGGAUUAAGCGCUGGUAGCAGCAAUGCUAAGAGGUAAUGUGCUGAGUAGAGAACAGUGAAAUGACAAGACAGUUAAACUGGAUCACCAGUAUUCAUUUAUGGAUUAAACUGGUCAGGCUCUAAAAGUUUCUGGUUAGUGUUUGUGUUUAUUGCUAGUCGCUAGCUAAACUAGCCUGUACAGGAACUAAGUUGUUACAGUAACAAAAACCCUCUCAACUACAUUAUAGAACAGUGUUUUUUUUGUUUUUUUUUUUCAUCAGGAAAAGAUAUUACGUGUGAGCAUAGAUUAAAUGCUUCAUCAGGCAAGACAGUAACGUUAGUAAACCACACAAACGUCUCAUCCUUUCCAACUGUCGCAGCAAUCUCCCUCCACGAGUUCUGUGCCAUCUGGGAAUCCUUAUGCUCAUGCAUUGGAGAUGCCUGUAAAGACGGACCUGCUCACAGACCCGUACCUCUAGCUCGUCCGUUUUGCAUAUUCGCCAGCUGCGCCCCGCGCGCCAAAUUACAAAAAUUGGGACGUGCGCGACCAGCUGAAACGACACCAAAGCACACCACGUGCCAGCAGUAAUGAUGUCACUUUUGGGGCUAUGCACAAAGAUGACAACGGCAACCAUAAAUUCCUUUUAACUCUCCACUGAGCCUUUGCACCUGCUUUCUGUUUAUAAAAACAACAUCUAUGCUAUGCUGCAUAAAAAGGUUAAUGUCCAAUUACCACACACAUGCCUAAUUACAUUUCUGGCUCCAUUAGGUAAACAACCUGCUCAAAUCAAUCAUGAUUCUGCUUGAUAAAAUGCCAGCGACCCAAAACAGUCUCUGUCUACCUGCUU
ensembl:lncRNA